rnacentral:rRNA from 1 species
CGCAUCUGUGCAUGCAGCAUAUCAAUAAGCGGAGGAAAAGAAACUAACAAGGAUUCCCUUAGUAACGGCGAGUGAAGCGGGAAGAGCUCAAAUUUGAAAUCUUCAAGGUUUUACCUUGACGAAUUGUAGUUUAAAGAAGUGUUUUCUGUUGAAGUUUUGGUAAAAGUUCUUUGGAAUAGGACAUCAUAGAGGGUGAGAAUCCCGUAUUUGACCAUUAUUUUCAGCUGUGUGAUACACUUUCAAAGAGUCGGAUUGUUUGGGGAUGCAGUCCAAAAUGGGUGGUAAAUUUCAUCUAAAGCUAAAUAUUGGCGAGAGACCGAUAGCGAACAAGUACCGUGAGGGAAAGAUGAAAAGAACUUUGAAAAGAGAGUUAAACAGUACGUGAAAUUGUCAAAAGGGAAGCGUUUGACACCAGUGUUGUUUUCUCGAAAAUCAAUUAAAAAGAGUUAGAUUUUGUUGUGUAUUGACCUUAACAGCUUGCAUUUCAAUUUUCUUGCUUUUUUUAAUGCACUUUUCGUUUAACAAGUCAACAUCAGUUUCUUUUGUUGUAAAAAGGUCAUUGGAAGGUGGCUUUCUUUUCGGAGAAAGUGUUUAUAGCCUUUGACUCCUGCAAUCGGAGAGACUGAGGUCUGCAGCGUAGAUCCUUCGGGGUUAGAUACAUUUGUGCUAAGUUAUAGCUUUUUAUAGACAACUUGUUGACUAUGAUUAGUCUUGUAGCUUACUCGCUUAUGCUAUUUUACCUACGCUUAGGAUGUUGACACACGCGCGUGCUCG